UUGGACUUUAAUUUAGGCCUUUUACCGUAAACAAAGUCUUCUUGGAGACUGCACCGUCUCUACGAAAACUUGGCAAACCGUAAGUUCUGCUUCUGUUCAACUUACCGAUGAAAAAAAAUCUGGAAACCGUAAGUUCGAAGCGUCACCUUCAAAGGCUUCAUUAACAGUUGUUCUCCACUCCUCACACGACCUAUCAUUGAAUGCAUCUCCCUUUACUUGCUUUCACAGAAUCUUCGACUAUAAAAAGGUUAGGUCACAAAGAAGAUAUGAAGAAAAAAUCCAGGAGGAUAAGGAGGAGUAAUCUGGGUUAAUAGCAACAGUGGUAAAGUGACUUGGAUGUGAAACCUGAGCCAAAUCUGAAGAACCUCACGAGAUUCAAUCAGAGGAAGAGAUUACAAGUGGAAACAGCAAAGCUUGAUCUGAAAUUAAAAGAUGUCUUUAUAAUCUUUCUCCAGACGAUCCAGUCAAAUCCAGUCAAAAAUUUGAAAUUUUCAUUGAUGCUUUAAAGGGCUUGAAGCUAAGGAGAAGAUGAAGAGAUUGAGACAACACAUUAAAAAUUACAACAAAAUCACUGGAAAAUUUGCUAUGCUUGAUGAGAUCAUCAAUGAUGUUCAAUAUCUUCACAGACAAACGCCUUACUUGGUUGGGAGUGAGUAGCCAAUAACCUAACCAACCAACAUAACUAUAAACUCUGAAGCUACUGGGCAACCCAUUGUCUUUGCUUUGCUCUGCUUUGAUAAGUCUAAUCUGACUUGCUUCGUGUCUGUUGAUAAUUUAUAAAAGUUGGUUUCAUAAUAUUCGAAGAUAUUUUUCAUGAAUUCUUUCAGGUACCAGUUGAUAAGAGUUCCUUCUAGAGGCUUUAAGAAACUACAAAUUUGUAUAUUUGACUGAAGACGUUGGGAAGGUUGUGUUUGUUGAUUCAAUGAGUGGCUUAUGACCAGAUUUCAGAACACUUUGAAAGCAAACUCAUUUCCAUCUUUGAGCACAUGGACUUCCUCUUGAUACUCACCGGCUCUCCCCACAAGAAAUCUAACAAUCCAAAAAUCCCAAUGUUCCUCCAAUCUGUCAAACAAAACAAACUAUCCUUCCUACCUUUAAUCGAUACAUUCAUAUUAAUGAAACUUUAAGCUCUUCCUGGAUAUAAUAUCUAACGUGAGCCUUUCUCUUUGCUUCCUUUAUGAGCUUCAAGAUAUUGGAGAACUAUUUGAAACAGUGUAUUCUACGUGAGGAUGCAUGAGCUCAAACUUUAUGUACUCCCCUAGAGCAGCAUGUAACAUGAACUAAGAAAAUGUCUUUUUAUUUUUUGUCUGACAGAUUAAUAAUCUACUUGAUUAACUACA